CAUGGCGGACGGGUGAGUAACGCGUAAAGAACUUGCCCUUUAGACUGGGAUAACAGAGGGAAACUUCUGAUAAUACUGGAUAAGUUAGUAUAUCGCAUGAUAUGCAAAUGAAAGCUACGGCACUAAAGGAGAGCUUUGCGUCCUAUUAGCUAGUUGGUAAGGUAAGAGCUUACCAAGGCGAUGAUAGGUAGCCGGCCUGAGAGGGUGGACGGCCACAAGGGGACUGAGAUACGGCCCUUACUCCUACGGGAGGCAGCAGGG
rnacentral:rRNA from 1 species